ACGAGGGAAUGGGUAGAUUAUGUAUUUCGUUUGUGAACUGAUGCUCGGGCAAGGGCGACUGUGGGAUGCGACUUCGUGUCGAUGUCCGCGUCGAGAAAUUAGCAUGUGUGGCUUUAUUGGCCUUUUCGUGUUUACAUGGUGUUUAAGUUGCUAGAGUUCAUUGUUUGAAUGAUAAAAUUCAGGUGUCUGGUCUUCCUGUUAAUGCUUCAGUCCCUAGAUGACUUGAAAUGUGUUAAGGCAAGCCCAUCUCAUCAAAAGCAGGUUAUAUCUCUAGCGAUUUAAACACCAACUAGUCUGGAAAAAAUGCGUGUGUUUGCUCUAUUUAGUCUUGCUUCCAUCAUAUAUUAAUAAUGAGGAGUAGGACCUUAUAGUGGUAAUAUCUUUUUUGCUACUAGGGCAAUGUGCAUUUGUCGUGGUUUGGGCAAAUAAUGAUUCGAUCCACAACAUGGGAGCAAUACAUAUUUGCUUGCUUUGAAAUGUUGACUCCAUAUUCGCAUGUUAAUUAGGUAUUCAAGAUCCCCCUCACCUUGGAGAGAGCAGUCAAGGUCUAGGUCCAGAUCCAGGUCUAGGUCCCCGUCCUGGUCCAAGCACCAGCCGAGGUCACGGUCCAGGAGCCGUGGCAGAUCAAGAUCCAGAAGUCAUGGCAGGGAUGACAACAAUCCUGGAAAUACGCUUUAUGUGACCGGUUUGUCCACUAGGGUCACCGAAAGGGAGCUAGAAGACCACUUUUCGAAAGAGGGGAAGGUUGCUUCUUGCUUCCUCGUGGUGGAGCCUCGCACACGCAUCUCCCGCGGAUUUGCAUUUGUUACCAUGGACUCUGUUGAGGAUGCUAACCGUUGAGAAGAAGACUUUGCGUCAGCUAUGUUGGCAGCAACCAAAGAUGAUGAGUUCAUCCAUGUCAACUUAAGUGAAACGGCUUGAUCAAUGGCCGGCUUUAACAGCUUUUCAAAAGCAUCUGAUCAACUAAACAUAGCAACUAUAUUGCAACAACCAUACAACCUCAGCACUCACUUUCAACUCUCAACUAAUCAACGGACAUUAGCAACAACUUUCUAGUCAGGAUUAUAUGGUAUCUCAUAUCCGGCAUCCAUUUGUUGGAAAACUAAUCUUAAGUGUGUGGUUUUUGUUUCCUUUUAUUCCUGUUAACUUCUUUCACGUAAUUUGAGAUUUUUUUUUUAAAAAUAAUUCUUGUCCUUUGGAUAGACUAUCUAGAAGGAUGUACUUUGUUCAUGUUUGUGUGGUGAUUGAAAUUGGCAACGGAGCUUGUAGCAGAAGUGAUUUGGAUGGCCAACCUUUUGAAUGAUGGCUUUAUUUUCUUUAGUUGGGUACUUUCCAUUGGUAAUGCUUUGUUUAUUUCAGUCACGGAGGAAGCGACUGCGGACUCCAACUCCUGGGCAAUAUCUUGGAUUGAAGAGCACUAGGGACCACGGCUAUUGUGGUGACCGUGGUGGUGACCGGGGUGGUGACCGUGGUAGGUAUCGUGGUGGCCGGGAUGAUUAUGGGUACCGUAGAUCCCCAAGGCGCUCACCAUUUUGAGGUGGCCGUGAUUAUUCUCCCAGGCGCUCACCUUAAGGUGGAAGGUCAAGGAGGGACAGAUCAAGGUCACCUAUCUAUUCUCCUCGCGGUUCUAGGUGAUUGUUCUU